rnacentral:piRNA from 1 species
UGAAACGUUAACGUCUUUUGAUGGGUAU